AUUGAACGCUGGCGGCAUGCUUUACACAUGCAAGUCGAACGGUAACAGGCCUUCGGGUGCUGACGAGUGGCGAACGGGUGAGUAAUGCAUCGGAACGUACCCAGAGGUGGGGGAUAACGCAGCGAAAGCUGUGCUAAUACCGCAUGUGAUCUGAGGAUGAAAGCGGGGGACCGAGCAGCAAUGUUUGGCCUCGCGCCUUUGGAGCGGCCGAUGUCGGAUUAGCUAGUUGGUGGGGUAAAGGCCUACCAAGGCGACGAUCCGUAGCUGGUCUGAGAGGUCGACCAGCCACACUGGGACUGAGACACGGCCCAGACUCCUACGGGAGGCAGCAGUGGGGAAUUUUGGACAAUGGGCGCAAGCCUGAUCCAGCAAUGCCGCGUGCGGGAAGAAGGCCUUCGGGUUGUAAACCGCUUUUGGCAGGAACGAAACGGUGUCCGCUAAUACCGGGCGCUAAUGACGGUACCUGCAGAAUAAGCACCGGCUAACUACGUG
rnacentral:rRNA from 1 species